rnacentral:lncRNA from 1 species
CUUUCUAACCUCCCCUCAUCACUUACCCAUUUUACAGGGAAUGGGGGAGGAAGAGGAGUCAGGUAAUUAAUUAUCAAUAAUGUUUUCUUGGAAAACAAUGGAAAGAAAUUACAAGGCUCACCCAUGAAUCAGAGAGGGCAAAGGCACUUUAGGGCAGUGAGAUAAUUUGAUCCCUCCCCUCACCCUAACCACCAACCUAGAAGUUCAUAGAUCAUCAAAGAUGGAAAGAGACCUUAGAGAUGAUUUAGUCCAACUCUCUUAUUUUGCUACAGGAGAAAUUGAGGCAUACAGAGGAAAAAAUGAUCAUCUACUGGUGAAAGUAGAGUCAGAGUUAGAAAGCUACAUCCUAAGAAUCAGAAACUCCAGGUUAACUACAUGUCAAGAAAUGUUUCCGACCCAGACAGCACGUACCUACCAGUUUGAGGUGGUGUUUUCAUUUCUCACAUGUGCCGAAGACCAGACUUCCAGUUGCAGGGCCCAGGACUGAGCCAGAUUCAGGUCAGAAAAAUGAGGGUGUCUCCUCUGAUGGCGAAGGCCCCCAAAGAAAGAGAGACCAAUGAAGAGAAAAUAGGAGUGCAAAGAACAAGUCUAUACUUUGCCAUCUCUGGGGGGUUUUGAAGGCUUUUCUUAUUAGCCAGAUAUGUUCAGAAAUACCCAAGUCCCUUAAACCUCCAAGCCUCAGUUUACCUUCUCUACUAAAUGAGCAUAACUAUGCUUACAGGACUUAACCUUACAGCAUUAUUGAGGAAAGAACUUCAUAAACCUUCUAAGCACUAUAUAAAUGUGAGCUACGAGUAUUAUUGUUGUUGGAAGCAGCCUCACCCUGCUCACCUCAUCAUACCACAUCCACUUCAAGGAACCCUCUUUAAGAAACUUCUCGAAUUCCAAUGCUUUGCUAUUUAAAGAACUAACUACUGUAAAAGAAUGAAUUUCCCUCUGUUCUCAAGGCAUCACAUACAUUCUUAUCUGUUUGCAUGCUGGAUCAUACCUCACCCCAAAGAAUGUGACUUCAUGGAAAGAGCAGGGGGAAUUUGGUUUUUGUCUCUAUUUUCCCUGUGUCUAAAAAAGAGCCUUGUGCCUAUGGGGGACUUAAUAAUUGCUUCUUAGAAUAGAUAAGAUAACAUUUAAGAUUGGAUUAAUAAAUGUUAAAAAUAGAAGGAUGCUUGGAGAUCA